CUAAGCUCGAAGCCAACUCCAAGAUGAAUCUUCUUUUAAGAGCUCUAGUAGACUACUAGUUUGAUAGGCUGGAUGUGUAAGUGAUGAAAGUCAUUUAGCUGACCAGUACUAAUAGCUCGUUUGCUUACUUUUUAAU
rnacentral:rRNA from 1 species